UUUUUUCCUUUCAAGGAUUAUUCUCCCAUUUUAUUGAAUAAAAACAUACAACUCUAACAUUUUGGGGGCCUGGACUGCUUUUAUAACACAACCACAGACCUUCUCCCUAGAAAGGCACACAUACACAAAAAGUUUUGGUCACAACUAUAGGAAAUUCAGGAAUCUCUUGAAGUCAAUUCAUGGAUCCCUAGAGGUCCAAAGACCUCAUGACAACCCGUAUUCUAAAAGCAUCCUGCAGAAGCACCUGGGUGGCUCAGUUGGGUAAGCGUCCGACUACAGCUCAGGUCAUGAUCUCACGGUUUGUGGGUUUGAGCCCUGUGUCGGGCUCUGUGCUGACCGCUCGGAGCCUGGAGCCUGCUUCGGAUUCUGUGUCCCCUCUCUCUCUGCCCCUCCCCUGCUCACGCUCUGUCUGUCUCUCUCUUUCUCUCUCAAAAAAAAAAAAAUAAACUUAAAAAAAUUAAAAUAAUAAAAAAUAAAAGCAUACUGCAGAAAUGCCUACAUCAUUUCAUAGGACCAGGGUAAGGACCUUAUAGCCAGCUCUCCCAUCAUCCUUUAUAAUUUCAGAAGGCUAAUAACAAAUGAACACUCAAACAAACUUCCACAAGUAGACUCCCAUAUUCUCCAAGAAACCAGCAAUCUAAGGACUUGAAUAAAAUCACCAAAUCUAAAGUCAUAUAAAUUCAAAGUCCAAAUCGGUUUUGUUAGAGCUUAGAAUCUGUUACUUCUUUCUGCCCACAAAGAUUUCCUUAUAAAAGAAACAUCAGUAUGGCCUAGAGCUUAGUCCUUCCUACUUUAACACUCGUGAGCAUAUUAAGAUAUAAUUAUAUGAAAAAAGACUACUUCUAAAUUACUAAAACAUGUCCUUUUACUACACAUAUGAAUAAAGUCAAUUAAGAGAGUUCACAAAUGUUCAUUUGCAAGAUAAAUUAUGUGGUUGGCAAGCAGACUUUAAACAUUUCAUAAAGGCUCAAAUUUUGACGUGUUUCCAACCAGGUGGGUCAAGAGCUUUCAGACAUGUUUAGUUGUAGGUAUACCUCAAACUUUAAAGUCUUUCAAAUGUCUCUUGGUCUUACUGCUUUAUAAAAUUUCUAGCACUGUCCAACAUAUUUUUAGUUACAAAAUGAAGUUAUAAAAGUGGCCAGAACUCCACCUGUGAAUACCAGAUAAAAGGUCUCAUAAAAAUUUAAGUUACAAGGGGCAGUGAUACUCUCCUAUCAACAGCACCAAAGAUUAUUUUAAAUCACUUAAAAUACUGUUUCAAAAUCAUUAUUUGAUAACAUGAAGUAACAAGCUGCUUACACAGAACAUCAUUUCACCCCUCGACAAUGAUCUUUUAAACAGUAAUGACCCUCACCAAAAUGCAGUUGGGAUGUAUAAUCAAGCGACACUUUCAAUGUACAGUUCGUAGUCCUAAGAUUUAAAUUAAGUCUUGCUUUGGUUAGAAUAUGUUCUCUCCUUCUAAAACCAAAAAAAUGAACACAGCCUGAGGCCCGUGCACACACAGCGGUUAAGUCAGUAUUAUUUUAAGGCCAGGGGAGGCUUUUCACCCUAGCGGAGGUCAAGUUAUACCUCACAACCUUCAAAGUAAUCUUUUUUUCCUUUGUGCCAAAAGUCGAAGGUGCUAAUUCUUGAGAGCAAGGUUUUAGAGCAUUAUUAGAGUUUCGACUUCCUAUAUGUGAAUAAAAUUUGACAUAUACGGAUCUCCAGCUAGGGAUUAAACACACUUCACUGCCAUACAUUUGCAUUUACAGCUCUCCCUCUUCGGAAGAACGGAGACAAAACAGGGAGAAUGAACCCAAGUUUCGCAAAGAACCAAAAACAACCAAAUCCAACCCACAUAACUGCCUCAGCCCGGAUGUGAAAGAGGCAGGGUACUUGGGGGGUGGGGGUGGGGGCGGUGGCAGGAAAACUGGAAAAUAACUUCACGCUCAAGAAGAUACCAAACCUGGGUUAAAACUCACACACGCUUCUUCUGCCAAAGUGAAUCUCCCCCGCUGGAGAUCAAAUCAGCUAUACUGGUUCUGGUUUCCUCCAGCCUCUCCCCACCUAAAUGUUGCCAUUUACGAGAAACUCAUCGAAGUUGAAUCAAAGUGACUUUUGGGAAGAGAUGCCAAUAUGAUCUACAGAGUGCUCCGGAAAUGUGUAACUCUACACACGAGGCAACGUUACUCCUUGGGCACCAACACCCACCCCCCCGCAACUUCACUUUCAACUUCCCCUUAAGAUGCGGACAAUCACAGAGCCUUUUUUUUUUUUUUUUUUUUUUUAAAUCGGAGAGAGCAUUAAAUAAAGCACCGCAUCCAGGUCACCGAUGGGCUCCCGGCGCCCCGGGGGAUCCGCGGGCACCGCGCUCCCCGGCCGCUCCGCCAACUCCUCCCGGAGGUCUCCCAAGUUUCUCUUUCCCCCCUUCCGCGAGCACCCGCCUGAGCCCGGGAGGGAAGGGGGCGGCCCCAGGCGCCGGAACCGAGCGACCUGGAACCCUGGGCCUUUGCGGCUCGCCGGCCGCGCCCGGCGCAAGUGCCCGCGUUCGAGACCCCGGGCGCGUGUGGGCGCCAACUUCGCGGGGACCCUCGCGCCGUGCCCCCGCGGCGCCCCUAGUCCUGCGCCUCCCGGGCCAGCCGGGUCCGGGCGUCCCCGCCACCCUCCCCGCCCCACGGCGGAGCGAGCCCAGCCCCAGCUGCGGCAGCCGGGAUGCGGCGGCGGGGAGGGGAGGGGGGCGGCGGCCCCCUUCCCCGGGAAGGCGCGGGGACCCGGAGCCGGGUGGCCCGCAGCCCCCGAAGCCCCCGGCGGGCGGCCGAGCGAGCUCACCUGGCGGCUGGCGGCGGCCUCCGGGGCGGCCUCUGGGCGUGGGCCGGGCGGGGGCGGCAGGGGGGGCGGCGGGGGCCGGGGCUGUAGCCGGGGCCGCCGCCGCCCGCCGGCCUCGCCCCCCCACACGCGCCGGCCGCGGCCGCCCCCGGGCAGUGCGGGGGGCGCGGGGAGCGCGGGUCCCGCGGCGGCGGCGGCGGCGGCGCGGCGCGGCUCAGGCGUCGGAGCGGGCGGCCGCGGGCGCCGCCGCCUCCUCCUCCAUGGCUGUUUACCCGGCUGCAUUGUGGGAGUUUGACCUCCGCCGCCGCCAACCGCCGCCUCAGCUUGCGCCGCCGCCGCCGCCGCGCACGCCAUGGGAGCCGUGACUGACGACGAAGUCAUACGGAAGCGCCUCCUAAUUGAUGGAGACGGCGCUGGAGAUGAUCGGAGAAUCAAUCUGCUAGUGAAAAGUUUCAUUAAAUGGUGCAACUCUGGGUCCCAGGAAGA